AGGCGCCAAUAAAUAUGGGGCGGUAAUAAAUAAAUGGUGUGGACCUAGUGGCAUGGAGGACUCUUUUUCCAUCUGAAACACUUCCAAGACAAGGAAAUAAAUUGGACCUAAUCUAAUUAGAUCAAAGGCAAUAGGUUAAGACUAGCUCAAAUUCGUUUGAAUAAAUCUAAUUGGGAACUUUGGUUAAUAUAAUAUGCUAGCAUAUCAAAUUAACUCCUAGAAUUUACAUUAAUCUCUAAUUAAAUUAGAUCAAGAUCAAAUCUCAAAGUGUGUGACCCAUGGAAUUUCAAAUCUAGCUAGUAGUAGACUCAGGCUCUUAAUCUAACCCUAAUCCGAUUAGACUAGGUCAGUCCAAUGGCACCAAUUAACUAGAACUCUUUCUAAUUAAUUUUUGAAUUAAACUCUUUUAAUUCUUGUAAGUCCACAACCUAAGAUUGAUAUCUAACAAUGUGUCAUGACUAUCCGAAAGAGAUGAAAUUUGAUAGAAAUAUCAAAAAUAUUCUUCAAUGGUAAGUUACCAUGCAAUUCAAUCUUUCAAUCAUACAACACCCC
rnacentral:lncRNA from 1 species